GCUUGGCGUAGCUAGUACACUCGUCACACAUCUAGAGUCCUGGAUUUCAAGCAGACCUGGUGGGAGGUGGCUUGGUGGCAGCAAACAGCCUACUCCUCUGUCCUUGUUCGCAGUGUCACAGGGCAGAGCUGAGCGUCCUGUGCGUUGUUCCUCACUCCGCCCGCCCUCAGCUGCAGACUCCACAGUGGGCACAGCUGACCACGCACUGCAGGGUCUUACGUUCUGGGUACCCCAGCCUCUUCUAUCCCAGCCAGAGACACUUGACACAUUCACGAAACACUGCCUUCCCGAACAUACUGAUGGGUUCUCACCUUCAAAAACAGUAAAGCUGAUUUCUUGGCCCAUAAGGAGGUCAUUCUCCACAGACUGAAGUAGCAGCAGCUCUCAGUCAGUGCUUUCCAGUGGCGCAUGGCUCUUGGCUGGCCAAAAGCCUGGGGAGCAGUUUUGGUCCUGGCUGUGCCCUGGCUGGGAUCCGGGUUUAAUCCGCCUCUAUUACUUUCCUCACAUCAGAAGCCCGUGUAUGUCAGCUAUAGUUUCCUUGUCCAGAACCGCCUCUGUCCCAAGUUAAAUGGCAGGAUGAGUUUUGUCAAUUCAGAGUGCCACCUGCUUGGGACCGUGACCCCUCUGCGGCUCUGGCUCCAGCAGGCCUGUGUCCUUGCACACUGGCUGCUUGGCUCCCCUGGCUGUUGGGCAGCUGGGGCCGGGAUAGAGCCUCCAUGUUUAUAUGUCUCUGUUGUUUAUUCAGUGCAGCCACUGCCUAAGGGGGACCAAGUGCUAAACUUCUCAGAUGCAGAGGACCUGAUUGACGACAGUAAGCUCAAGUGAGUUCCUGGAGAGGGUUGGCUCCACUUUGUCGGGCACACCAGGCUGCCCAGCAGACAGCUUCAGUUGCAGCUGCUGGGCUUAGCCACCUGCUUCACCCUCUCCUGUGGGGGCCGCUUAAGCUCACUGCCUUCCCGUUCUCCCCACCCAGUCCCAGGGCUAGGCCAAGGCUUAGACAACUCUCUGAGCCCCUUGGCUGAGGAGCCUGGGGUGCUGUGGUGGGCCAGGUAGCAGGGGCCCGACAGUGACAAAUCCUUUUUGAUACUCAG
rnacentral:lncRNA from 1 species